GCUUAGCUAUGCAGCUAUGGAGGAGAAACAGGGACCUGUCCUCAGUGGCUUUGUGGGUGGCCAGUAUCGGGGAUGGGCUGGGGUGGAUGUCCUCAAACAAACACAGAACAUUUCUCUCGCCUCUUUAUUCCUGAUGCACUUUUGUCCCCUCUUUGUCCAAGGUUCUCAUCACAUUCUGAUAUCCCCACUCCUUGAUGGUUUCCCCGAGUUGCUGGGUGCCUCUUGAUGAAGGCGCCUAGGAGACAGAGCUUCACACUUGUCCUUGCCCACUGCCAACCGUCUCUGACGGGCAUCAAAAACCACAUGCCCUGCCUGGGUGCCUGGUCCAGGGCAGUGGGACUUCCAGUUGAUAUGGGUAGGCAUAGACAUCUGACGAUAGUUCUGGUAGCCUGAAGGAACUGUAUCCACAGGGCGGUACGCCCCGUGCUGGCUGCCUGCCCGCCAGGAGGAUGACUGCAGCUCAAUUAAUACAGGUACCUCUGAGAAGGUCUGCAGGUCAUUGGAGACCACUUGGGCCUUGGAAGGGCAGGAGUUCUCAUUGAGUUGGACACGAGCCCAGAGGACGUGCCGCUGUGCGUCCUCCUUCUGAGCAGCCUUCUCAGGCACAGAUGACUUCAUCAGGGACAGUGUGGACUUUGGGGUCUGAAGCAGGGACAAAAGCUGGACAAAAUCAGAACCUAGGGCAGGGCUUGGGUUCUUGUAGAGGCUGGGAUCUGGGAUGAGGCAUGAGCUCUUGUAGGGGCCAGAUUCCUGGGUAAGGCCUGAAAUCUUGGGGAGGCCAGAGUCUUGGACAAGGGCUGGGUCUUUAUGGGGGCCAGGAUCUUGAUUAAUUCCUGGGCACUUGUGGAGAUUAGAGUCUUGGCUAUGUUCUGAGCUCCUGUAAACUCCAACAUCUUGGGGAAGGCUAAAUCUUCUUUCAACUUUAGUGGCUUGGGUAAGGCUUGGGAGGUUGGAAUCUUGAGUAAGGCCUUUAACUUUGUGGCCACCACAAUCUUGGAUAAGUCCUGGAUUCUUGUAGUCUCCUGAGUUUUGGGUAAGGCCUGAGCACUUUGGGAGGCCAGAGGUUUGGACAAGGCCUGGGCUCUUGUGGAGAAAAGAUUCCUGGAUAACUCCUGAGCUCUUAUUGACUUCAGAGUCUUGGGGAACAUACGGACCCUUCUGUGAUCCAGAAUCUUCAGUAAGGCCUGCGGUACUACAGACUCCUGGAUCUUGGACAUUGCCUGUAUUCUUGUGACCUCCAGAAUCUUUAGAAGAGCCUAGGUUCUUUUGGUGGUCAGUUGCUUGGGAGAGAUCUUGAUUUUUGUAGAUCACAGUCUCUUGGUUUGGUUCAAGAUUCCUAUAGAUUCCAGAGUCUUGUGUAAAGCCUGAGCUCCUCUGAAGAUCAGAAGUUUGGGUAAAUGGUGUUUUCUUGUGGAGGCCAGGGGAUUGGGUGAGACAUGGGCUCCUAAGGAUACCAGCUUCUUGAGUCAGACCUGUGUUCUUUUGGGGGUGGGAAUCUUGAGUAAUGCCUGAAUUCUUGUGAAGACCAAAGUCUUGAGAAGGGCUUGGAUUCUGGCAGAGAUAAGAAUCUUGGGGAAGGCCUGGGAACUCAUGUAGGCCUUGAUUUGGAGCAAGACCUGGGUUCUCGUGGAGGCCUGGAUCUUGGGUAAGGCCUGGGUUCUUGUAGAGGUCUGGGUUUUGGGCAAGGUCCAGAUUCCUGGGAACUCUGGAGUCUUUUGAAGGGCCUGGGGUCCUUUGAAGGCCAGAAUCUUGGGUAAGGCCUAGACUCUCAUGACAUUCAGGGCAUUGGGGUUGGAUCAGGGGUUGGGAAAUGGUGGCGAACAGGGAAGGGAUGGGGAAUUGGGAAGUGAGGAUGGACUGAGGAGACUUGGAGGUUGGAAGAACAGUAGGGGUUUGUAUUAAGGUGGAAGGCCUCUGAUGGUUGGUGGGUUGAGGAGGGACAAAGGAUCUGGGAGGAACGAGAGGCAGGGAAAGAGUGAACGGUGGAGGAAGGGUGCACACUGAGCUCUGGGCAGUGGUUGCAGAAUGAAAGCAAGUCUUGGCACAUGCAGUAUCCCGGGAGUAGGCAAGGAAUUUGGGGUAGAAUGGAGCCUGGGAGUCUGUGUUCUUCUCAGAACUGCAAGGAUGGAAGCUGCAGUAAGGGGAAGUCUUGGUCUGGGGGAACUUAUCUUUGGCAUCAUCUGAGUUCUUCCAUUCCAUAUUCCUCAACUCCAGGUAGCCCAGUAUGGAUCCUGCAGGAAGCUUGGCACUAUCCCCACUGCAUUGCUUUGUUUGCUCAGAUAUGCCAGAACUCACCAGGUCCUGACCCUCUUGGGGCCUGAAGAGGGUAGCCAAGUCUUUUCUUGAAUACUCAGGGUUCUGGGGGCUGGACAUAUGGAAGAAAUUCUGCUUUUCCCUGCGGGCAUCAUAGACCACAUGGCCAGUGGAGAGGUCAUGGCUGAAGGCAGGUGGGGUAGAGGGUAUAGGAGUUAUGAUAGGGGCAGGGGUGGUGGCAGGGACAGGAUCAGGGACAGGAGUGGUAGUCAGGGCCAUGACCAGUGCUGGAGCAGGGCUGGGGGCAGAGGCUGGGACAGGGGCUGGUGUUGGAGCUAGGACAGGAGUAGUGGCUGGGGCAAGAGUUCCGGGAGGAGCUGGGGCAGAGGUUGGGACAGGAACGGAGCUGCGGACUAGAUGAGAGUGGUCUGGGAUAUACGCUGGGGCAUGGGCUGAGGUGUACUCAGGGGCAUGGGCCUGGGGGUGGGCUGGGACAGGCAUAGGAGCCUGGGCUGGGGAGUGGGCUGAGGUGUGUUCAGGGCUGUGGGCCUGGGAGUGAGUAUACUCAGGGGUGUGGGGCGGAGAGUGGGUUUGGGCCUGGGCUGACGUAUGGGCUUUAGUGUGAGCUGAGGCCUUGGCCGGUGUAGGGGCUGGGGUGUGAGCUUGGAUGUGGGCUGGCGUCUGAGCUGGGGUAGGGGCUGAGGUGUGGGCUUGGGCCUGGGCUGAGGUGUCCUGGGCCUGGGAGUGGGUGCCCUCAGGGGUGCGGGCUUUGGAGUGGGUCCAGGAGUGGGCAGGGGUGUGCACAGCGGUGUGGUCCGUGGAGCGGGUCCAGGGGUGGGUUGGGGUGCACACAGGAGUGUGGGUUGGGGAGUGGACCUGGGCCUGAGCUGGGGCCUCGGCUGGGGCACAGUCUGGGGUCUUAGUCUUGCUCUCUUGGGGCAGGUGGCAUGGACCCGUGUCCAACUUGCUCAUCUUUGGGAACUGGGAAGAUGUCUCUGGCCUGGAGAGCAAGGAGGCUUGAGCCUUUGAGGCUGUGACCUGAGGGGCUUCUCCCCCGCCCAUCAUCCCCGCCUUGUACAGUCCCCGUGCAGACUCCCUGGGAACGCCGGCAUGUCCACAUUUAGGGGGCACGCAGCAGCACGCAGAAACCUUCUCAUCGUUCGUGUCUGGUAUCCAGGAGUCAAGGUGGUUAACGCGCCUGAGCAGGAAGCCUGGGCGAGGAUGGACGCGGGAAGAGACUUUUGAGCACAGGUUCUUGGGAUCCACGGAGGAGCAAAUACAUAUGGGAUGGCUGCCGCUGGGCUGCUUGUCUGCAGGGAGAGUUCUGCGGCCGCUGCUGGUGGUUGCAGCAGCGACGGCGACAACGGCG
rnacentral:lncRNA from 1 species